rnacentral:tRNA from 1 species
UGCUUAAAAGCGAAAUCUAUCCGCGCUAAGUUUCGGCCUUAGUUUUGAGAACCCUUCUCUUAAGUAU